ensembl:snRNA U6 U6 spliceosomal RNA
UAAGACUCCAUCUUAAAAAAAAUAAUCGAAUGAUACAGAGAAGAUUAGCAUGGUCCCUGCACAGGGAUGACAUGCACAUUUUUGAAAAAAUUAGAAGAGAA